rnacentral:rRNA from 1 species
GCUUACACAUGCAAGUCGAACGAUGAUCUCCAGCUUGCUGGGGUGAUUAGUGGCGAACGGGUGAGUAACACGUGAGUAACCUGCCCUUCACUCUGGGAUAAGCACUGGAAACGGUGUCUAAUACCGGAUACGAGCUUCCGCCGCAUGGUGAGGAGCUGGAAAGAAUUUUGGUGGGGGAUGGACUCGCGGCCUAUCAGGUAGUUGGUGAGGUAAUGGCUCACCAAGCCGACGACGGGUAGCCGGCCUGAGAGGGUGACCGGCCACACUGGGACUGAGACACGGCCCAAACUCCUACGGGAGGCAGCAGUGGGGAAUAUUGCACAAUGGGCGAAAGCCUGAUGCAGCAACGCCGCGUGAGGGACGACGGCCUUCGGGUUGUAAACCUCUUUUAGUAGGGAAGAAGCGAAAGUGACGGUACCUGCAAAAAAAGCACCGGCUAACUACGUGCCAGCAGCCGCGGUAAUACGUAGGGUGCAAGCGUUGUCCGGAAUUAUUGGGCGUAAAGAGCUCGUAGGCGGUUUGUCGCGUCUGCUGUGAAAUCCGGAGGCUCAACCUCCGGCCUGCAGUGGGUACGGGCAGACUAGAGUGCGGUAGGGGAGAUUGGAAUUCCUGGUGUAGCGGUGGAAUGCGCAGAUAUCAGGAGGAACACCAAUGGCGAAG